ACAUCGUUUUUUGAAAGAAUUUAAAUACCCCUUUUAGCUUUUUUUUCAUUUUCUACCAUUUAUAUAUCUUUGGUUCUUCCUCUAGAGAGAGAGGAUCUUCCUUCUCUCUAAAAAGGAGAUGAGAAACAUCGCCUGCCGUCAGCCGACCGUCGACCCCCGUUCCCCACUGUCAUUAGUCCCCGAUGGUGACCAAAUUUCACUAGGAGACUCGUCUCGGCCUCCUCGUCUUCGAUUUUUCAUAAAUUACGUUAGAUCGCAUCUAGUUUAAAAUAUGUUGUUACCGUUAUUCUUAAAUCUUGCCUCACUAUUCAGAUUCAAGAGAGGAGAUCCCUAUCGUCGGCGAGGAGCUCCGACCGAGAAGGUCACUCGCCGGAAGCCUUACCAGGUUUUGCUCGAACAUGCAAAUAAAUAAUAAAAAAACAUAAAAGGAAGCAUCUACAUAAAAACGUCUUUUUUUGUAUUUGAGUACUUGAAUUACAAUGACUAUUCGUUCUUCAGUUUUUGCUUCCACCCCCAUAUUGUUUUUUGUCCGAUUGUAUACAUGAAAGUCUUUCAUUUUUACAAUCAAUUAAAGAAAUAUUCAAUCCCAAAAAUUCUGUUUUGAGAUUUGUUGUUGAUGUGCUUUUUCUUUUUUCUUUAUAUGAGGAGAUUUUCUUGCCAUCGAAGGUUCGAAAUGAAUAUUGAGCUGCUGUCGGCGCGUGGAGAUUACGAAUCGCUGGUGCGUAAGUUACGCGCGCCCCUCUGGUUGAUACCACUCCACGAAGACAACGACUGUUGGGGACACUAGAGCUCUUUCUCUUUGUGAGCCUUUUGGGCUCCCUUACAAUGAGUCACUUGUAUUUGGGUGAACAAAAAUUGUAAUCAGACUACAAGAUUAGGCCUGUAAAACAAACAAAUUGUAUCAAUGUUCUUAAUAAUAAUAACUAAUUAUUAUAAUA